GUGGGGAAUAUUGGACAAUGGGCGCAAGCCUGAUCCAGCCAUGCCGCGUGAGUGAUGAAGACCUUAGGGUUGUAAAGCUCUUUCACCGAUGAAGAUAAUGACGGUAGUCGGAGAAGAAGCCCCGGCUAACUUCGUGCCAGCAGCCGCGGUAAUACGAAGGGGGCUAGCGUUGUUCGGAUUUACUGGGCGUAAAGCGCACGUAGGCGGUUUGUUAAGUCAGGGGUGAAAUCCCGGAGCUCAACUCCGGAACUGCCUUUGAUACUGGCAAGCUAGAGUCCGGAAGAGGUAAGUGGAACUCCUAGUGUAGAGGUGGAAUUCGUAGAUAUUAGGAAGAACACCAGUGGCGAAGGCGGCUUACUGGUCCGGAACUGACGCUGAGGUGCGAAAGCGUGGGGAGCAAACAGGAUUAGAUACCCUAGUAGUCC
rnacentral:rRNA from 1 species